UGUUGGAUAAGUAAGACUCUACUGUACUAUAACAGGAAAAUGCCUGAAAUCAGACGUAGAAACCUUACACAGACAGAAAGUACAUCUAUGCUGACUAUUUAUUGCAGUUUCAACUUGGUAGUAAAGAAAGUGUUUUUGCUGUGCAGAUGAUUAUAUAGGAAACCAAUUUGAAGCCCAGAUGGUGAUGAUUAACGAAACCACUGAUCAUCUUGGCCUGGUAGGGAGCUACUAAGAUGGGAUCUGGCAAAUUAGGACACCACUGAUAUCACCAAUAUUAAAGAAAAAGUCUUGAAAUGUUAAUAAUAACUGGGUCAUAGACAUGAGUAGAUCAAUAUAUUAAUAUCCGAAAAUAAUUCUUUAGUCAUAACAACGUGUUGGCAAGAAAGUUGUGGAUUUUAGCUAUUAUUAAACAGUCCACGCAGUCAUGCCGGCCACAUGACCUUGGAGGUAUCUACAGACCUCCAAGGUCUUCGGUUUGGAAAUGGAAAUGGGCCCCAACUCCCAGAGUCGGUCACGACUGGACUUAACGUCAGGGGAAAACCUUUAACCUAAACAGUCUUAUUAUGGAUAAAAUUUGUCUGAAAAGAAGGGUCUGUGUUGUGUCAGAACUUUAGAAUCAUAGAAUCAUAGAGUUAGAAGAGACCUCGCGGGCCAUCCAGUCCAACCUCCUGCCAAGAAGCAGGAAAAUCAUAUUCAAAGCACCCCCGACAGAUGGCCAGCUAUAGAGUUGGAUGUUUUGAUACAUCCAACUCUAUAGAAAGAAUCUGCUAGGUUUUUUUUUUUUUUUUACAUUUUCGGUCAGAAAAUUGCCUCACUCUACAGAUCGUAAGACGUAACUGAAUAUACUUUCUUGUCAGCCCUCCAUAUCCAUGGAUUCCACAUUCACAAAUUUUACCACCCACAGCCUGAAAAUCAAUUUUAAAAAUCCAAAGACAAAGCUUAGUUUUGCCAUUAGGACACCUAGACUAAGGUGCAAUUUGUCACAGGAUUUUUACUGAAUUCAGCUCUUUAACACAAUGGGCCAUAGAUUAAUGCCUGCAUUUCACUUUCUGGUGCUCUUGUUCUCCAUGAUCCUCCAUGAUGUGGAGAGAAGGGAUGAAGGGGAUUUUCUGAUCCCUACUCUUUUUCUGUAACACAGUGAAUUUCUGCCUUUAGUAAAGCUCUUUUUCCCCUCUGAAGAACUCUUUACUUUCACACUACUGAAUUGGCCAGCUUGAUUCACACUACUCAAGCUGGCCAAUUGCAACAUUCACACUUGCCUCAGGCAGACGAGAUUUUUCUCCCACCCUGAACAUUCCACAGAUAUAUAAACUCCACUUGCCUAGUUUCCAACACCUCACAACCUCUGAGGAUGCCUGCCAUAGAUGUGGGUGAAACGUCGGGAGAGAAUGCUUCUGGAACAUGGCCAUACAGCCUGGAAAACUCACAACAACCCAGAACUCCUUACCAUUGAAUCUUUGCUGUCCCACUAAAGACAGUGCAGUUUAAUAAGAAUCUGAAUGGAAGGCCCAUCCUUUGAAUGUACAGUAGAGUCUCACUUAUCCAACAUAAACGGGUCGGCAGAAUGUUGGAUAAGCGAAUAUGUUGGAUAAUAAGGAGAGAUGAAGAAAAAGCCUAUUGGACAUCAAAAUAGGUUAUGAUUUUAGAAAUUAAGCACCAAAACAUCAUGUUAUACAACAAAUUUGACAGAAAAAGUAGUUCAUUACACAUUAAUGCUAUGUAGUAAUUACUGUAUUUACAAAUUUAGCACCAAAAUAUCACAAUGCAUUGAAAACAUUGACUACAAAAAUGCGUUGGAUAAUCCAGAACGUUGGAUAAGUGAGACUCUACUGUAUCUCUCUCAAUGUUCUUUCCUGACCUAAAUAUUCAGUGGGUUUUAAUUCAUACAAUCGGAUUUUGUUGUUUUUUCUGCUAUUUGUUUUAUUAUUAUUUUUCAUUCAUAUCCCAGGUUUCUUCCAAUGACACUGAGGCACUACAUGAUUCAAAAUAAACUCAUGGACAGUUUCCAGGAUAUAUUAGCAAGCUAAGAGAAGGCUAUGCAGGUAAAGAAGGUUAUCUCUCAAAUUCAAAAUCACUCUCAGCAGCUACCCAGCAGUAAUUCAUACCGUUCACUUCCUAUGUUAGGGACAUGCCCCCUGCCCCCUUAGUAAUAAUGAUAUCAUGGCCUCCUUACCUGUAUGUAUAGCCUCUGGGGUUUCAAAUUCUUCCUCCAAACUAAGCUCUGUUUUUUCUUCCAUUGCUGUGUCUGGACAAUGCUGGUGGAGUCAAGAAAGCCAAUAAUGAGUACACUGAACAGAUGAACUGCUGAAGCAAAUUAAUGUCUUAAAAACAUGGCUGAGAAAAGAUUUGGGAGAAUUGAGGCUGCUGAAUUUACACAUCCCUGUACUGUCUUCAGAUGAGAGGAUGGUACGACUUCAAGUCCUGGGGGAAUACAGACCUUGAACAGUGAUUAGAAGACUUCCAUAUACUUUGCAAAGCACAUUCUUUCCAUACAAAAUAAUUCCAAGUUCAAUUGGCAUUUCCAGGCAGAAUGGGAAAACUCCACUCUGAAACCUUGGACCGCAGACUGGACUAGAGAAACCAAUGACCGAACUCAAUUUCCUGUGCAAUUCCUAUCUUUAAAGCCUUCCAAGGUAUCUGAAACUGUUAACCGCUACGCUGAGGUUGUUAGGUCCUAAUCAGAAGGGAAAGAUUGGAAUUCUUUUCUGAUCUUUUUAUAACGUUUGAAAGGAAGAAUGCUUUAGUAUUGCAUUAUAGUAAAUAUUUUGUUAGAUUUAUGUCACUGCUAUUACAGGGAGAGCAGCUGCUUUAUUGUGUUCUCCCAAUCUCACUUCAGAGUACAUGUGGCAUAACUGUAUAUCACAAGAGUGAUUCCAAAAAACAAGACAUUAUACAUACAGGCAGUCUGUCGGUUUGUUUUGAAGUUGAAUUUAUAUGUAAGUCGGAAUGGGUACAUUUUAAGUGUAACUCCAUCCAAAUAUGUCACCUCCCCACUCUCUCUCUGAGGCAUAUAUAUAUAUAUAUAUAUAUAUAUAUAUAUAUAUAUAUAUAUAUUGCUAUCUGUGCCCCUGUUCAAAAGAUUUUACCUCACUUUCUGUCCCUUUAAUAAUUGGACUUUUAAAAAAUGUGGCUUGUUGUGGAUACCACGAAUGGCGAUAAAUCAUAGAAUCGUAGAAUCAUAGAAUCAUAGAGUUGGAAGAGACCUCAUGGGCCAUCCAGUUCAACCCCCUGCCAAGAAGCAAGAAAAUCACAUUCAAAGCACCCCCGACAGAUGGCCAUCCAGCCUCUCCUUAAAAGCCUCCAAAGAAGGAGCCUCCACCACACUUCGGAGCAGAGAGUUCCACUGCUGAACAGCUCUCACAGUGAGGAAGUUCUUCCUGAUGUUCAGGUGGAAUCUCCUUUCCUGUUGUUUGAAGUCAUUGUUCUGCAUCCUAGUCUCCAGGGCAGCAGACUAGUACACAGAUAAAGGUUCAGUGGAGAUCCUUUUCUACCAUGAUAACUCUUACAGGAAAUCAGGAGGGGGUGCCAUUUUUGGUUCAAUAAGAUUUGGUCCAUUGGCACCAAUGGCUCAUUUCUCUGUCAUUUCUAGGCCUAUCAGGAUGAAACUUGCCUUACUUGUAGGCCACAAGUCUGCUAAGUUUCAGAAUGUUUCACCAAUCCAUCUAUUUUUGGGAAAUUUUUAAAGUUUUUAUCAUAACAUUUUUUUAAAAACACACACAGAAGAAGGUGUUUGGCGAAUUGAAAUCACCACAAAAUUGGAGGAGAAUGGACACAGUCGACCAGGCUUCUGAUUAGCUGAGAAAGAAAUGUGGGAAACAGAGAGAGAAAAACCUCAACUCCCAUCAUGCCCAGUGAGGUAGCGCAGAGGUUCCUUCAAAGCCCAUGCUGCACAAAGUGCUGCUGGGAAAGCAAGUUCCUGGCGCGACCCUUUCUGGAAUCUUUUUCCUCCUUUUUCUCUCUUUCUCACUCUCUAUUUCCGGCCUUAUUUGCCUCGAGUGAAGAAGAAGAAGAAGAGGAGGAGGAGCUGCCGCCAGACACCCGAUCUUGCCUUGUGAGGCCACCCACAUGCUGUGGCCUCCACCUCAGGUAGAGUGCCAUCACCCCCAUUAGCCGAAAGAUCUGGCUCCUCAUGAUAGCUUUCCCUGCCCACCGCCUGGUUCAUUUUUGGUGGUCCGGAUGCCAGAUCGCUAAAUUUCCCCAAAUUGCCAAACAGAAUCAUGCAAACCCCUAUUUAAUAUCUAUGUAAACCUUCCCACUUUCUAUUUUUAUCAGAAAGCUAUUGCUUGUAAUUUACUAUCACGCCUAUUUCAAACAUACUUGUCCAACAUGUCAUUUUGGAGAAAAAGCACAUGGACACUGUUCCUACGCACUCAUUCAUAUAUAAUUGUGGCAUAUAUGUGUAUUCAAAGCAGCAUGUUGUGUGCAUGUGCCAGAUAAGGCUUACAUAUAUGAAGGAUAAAUAGGGUGACCAUCAUUUGGCCAUGAAUUUAAGGGAGAUUUAGUCAUGGAAAUUUUUGCCUAUUUUUAACAGCGUCAUUCCAGAAAAAAAUCAUUGCUAAAAAGCAAAACUAGUAAUUUUCAUUAUAUAUAAUAUUUGGGUCAGAAUAUAGAAUAAAAAUUAUGAAUUUGCAUGUUUCUUAGUCCUAACCUACAUGUACCUGUCCAGUGAUGCUGCAGAACUUAGCAUUUUUUAAAAACUUUCUGUGCAAAUUUCAAACACUCUUUAUAACACUGUUAUAACAGUAUUAUUCCACUUCAAUUGCUGUGGUAAAAUGUAUGGCAUCCUGACAUCUAGAGUUUGGAAGAGGCCACUUAAAAUUUUUAGCAGGAGAGCUCUUGGGCCUCACUAAAGACAUCAUCCCACUGAACAUGUCAAGUGUUCAUAGAAUCAUGGAAUCAUAGAGUUGGAAGAGACCUCAUGAGCCAUCCAGUCCAACCUCCUGCCAAGAAGCAGCAAAAUGUUUGAAGAGUAGGUUUACCAUACAGCUCAGACAUACUCCAUUUUGAAAUUAAAUGAUUUUCCCAACUCCAUCACACACUUGCAAACUAUCCAUUUUAUUCAGGAGUUCUCAUCACAUUUGCCAUCAAAUUGCAGAGAGUUGGUCCCACCCACUGUCCUUCCCCCAUCUUCUUUGUGAAAAGAAGGACCUCCUCUCCCGGACUCAGCAGUUGAACACUGCAUAAAAUGCCAUGGCUCCAUGUUAUAACAUUCUGGGAAUUGUAGUUUUAUGAGAUAUUUACUCAUGUUGUGACUCUGAUGAGGAUUCUGGGAUGCAGUUUCCAGAUGAUGGGAUUCAGGUUCAGGAUGAGUUUCAAAAUGACUCUGAUGGGAAUUAUGGGAUUCAGGUGCAGAGUGUUCCUGCUGUGUGAGAUGAGGAAGAGGGAGGCUUUCCCAUGUGAAGGAAUGUGGUUGUUAUUGAUGAUGGUUUUCAGAUGCAAGAAGCAGAAAGGGAGAGCAGCUCUCAGCCUCUGUUUGAUAACGCUAACAAGUCCUGUGGCCUUGAAAGCGAAAGCGAUGAGGCCAUGUCUUUAGAUCGGGCUAGUCAUCUGGAAUGUUGGGGGUUGCGUAGAAGUCUCUGAAUAGCAAAUAAGAGGGAGUUCAAAGGGCAAAGAAAUGCCUUUAUGUUAUGCUAUUAAAACAGUCUGUUGAGAGAGAGAAAUUCGUCAAAGCAAUUUCCUCGCUUGAAUCAAGAACCAAGUCUACUUUCCUGUGUUACUUUAGAGUCUGGAUGUAUCCACGUUUCUGGGACUUUGGCUUGUUUUAAGGACCUUGCGUCAUGGAUUUGUUUCUUUCAGCCUUGUUUUUGGAACUAUUUACUGGAACCGAACUUUUGCCUUUUAUGAUCUAUCUUUUCCUUAUUUUCUAAUAAACUACAAAAGACUA